UUUUCAAAUAUCGACCCUCAUUAUGAUUAAAAAAAAGUUUUCAAUACAAUUAGCGCUUUUCCAAAGCUAAAUAAUUUGCUUAACGCCAAGAUUUUACUUCGAUUUGUAGUUUAGAAAACAACUUGUUAGUUUAAAAAAACUGUGAAAUGCAUAUAUGCGUUAAAUUUUAAUGCUUCCUCUUCUUUGUUUAGUUUACAGUUACCUUUUCGUGGCGCGUGUAUUGUGUGUUAAUUUAGGAUAUCUUAUCGUUUUGUAGUACAAUUAAUUAAAAAUAAUGGUGUUUAGUGGCUUUCUGUGUUUAAAUUGUGUUUGUUUAAUGUUAAGUGAGUUGCAAUCGGCAACGUAAAUAAAACUAUGCUAUCAUAAUUGCGCUUCCGCCGGUGCUUUGGUUUCAGGUCGCGUCCGGUGUUGUGCUCGUUUGUUAAGUGUUUAAUAUUGUAUUAUUAAGUUUAUAUUGAAGUUGUAAAGCGUUGCAUAUCUGUUGCUGCAUACAAAAGUACAAGUUUGUAUUGAAAAAUCUUAUUCCGGCAGAGUAAAUUAUUAGAAAAGCAAGAUGGCUUACAAUCAAACGUCGCGUUUCUUCAACAUGUUUUUUCUUGCAAUGGAAAGUUUGAAAAGCAGUGUACUAGUGAAAUAUUUAUAUUUUCAUUUCCUAUUUUCCAAUUUGCACGUAAAAAUUUUAAAUACCGUGUAUUGGGAGAAAAUGAGGUUAAUCAUUAAAAUCAUAUGUGUAAAUAUAUUUUGUGACAGCAAGAGCUAAGAUUCCAAGGAAAUGGCAAUAAGUAAAUUAAUUGUCGUAAAAAUUCAACCCAGCCAUUAAGUAACAACUGAAAUCAGCUUUUGAAAGAAUAAAAAUCCGCAAAAACACUUUCUAUGGAUCCACCAUUCUACAUCGGGUGCUACUGACAUUCAUAUGAGUGGCCUAGACACACUGAACCGAAUCCAAAUGUUGCUUAUAAGAAUUGUGGAAUGAGCAAAAAGUAAUUUUCUUCUUUACUUACUUAUUGGUUUCAGUUAAUGCGUGUGUUCAGAAAAUUUGAUGAUUAGCCCAGGUUUCCUAGUUUGUUGGUAUAACUGCUACAUUGGCCUGCGAAAUCGCCAUUCAAAUAUACACGUUUAUAAUACGUUCCACUUGCUCUAAGACAAACGCCCGCUUGCAGAAGGAUUGUGGAUUGUUUUAGCUUCGGUACCCACCUUCGACCUUACCAACUUGGGAGACCCUGCUAGUAGUUAAGCUACUGCCGGCAUCACUCUCAGGAUCAUUGUACUUACUGAACGCCCUUAUCGCGAGAAUAACAAUCCUCGAGAGAGCUCUUCGCGCUGAACGGAGUUAAGGGAUAAACUAUAUGAAAAAAUUUUCAUCGAUAAUCUGGCAAACGUCUACAAAAAAAGUUAUGCUUCAUGUAGUCGACGCACUACUAUGAUAGGAUAAUAUACACAAACGAAAAAAACGUUGAAUAAGUUGCUUUCGCUUUUCCUGGUUCAAGCCCCUAGCGACUUUAGCCUGUGCUCAACCCUCAAAAGAAUGCGUGCUGGAAAGCUAUCGCUGACACUGAGAUCUUUAAUGAAACAAAAAACCAAUAGUACUAUACAAAAGGCAACGUAAAGCAGGAAAAUUUGUGAUUUUUUUUUAUUAAAAAAAUGCGAGCUUUGGAACGAUCUAUAAGAAAUUGAUUUGACCUAAGAGGAGAGCCAGCAAAUCAAAUCAACCAUCAUCUAAUUUCCAAGAAGUAUAUACACGAUUCCUAUCUCUCUUUUACAUCACCAAACUGCUGUCCAAAAUUGAAACCAUUUCUUUUAUUAUAAAGUAAUUCGAAUUUAUUGUUUGUUAUAACUUUUUAAAUAUUUUAUUUUUUCAUUUGAUCGUUACAUUAUACUCAACUUGAUCUUUUUCUUGGUUAAAAUUUUAAUUUGAUUUCUUUUUUCUCAUUUACAUAAGUUUUGUGCUGGUAUGGUUUCUUAAGUGCAAAAAUAUUUUAAGUUUAAUAUUAUAUACUCUUUUCCUCUCCUUUAGUCUUGCACACCAACUACAUACAUAUGUAUGUAUGGUCAUAUUUUCACUUUGACAACAUCAAUACUAUGCACAAGGGUAUUAUAUAUCUUCAAUAAAUGCAAUUUGUUCUCUUCGGGAUAUUUUGUG